rnacentral:rRNA from 1 species
GCGCGCAGGCGGUCCUUUAAGUCUGAUGUGAAAGCCCACGGCUCAACCGUGGAGGGUCAUUGGAAACUGGGGGACUUGAGUGCAGAAGAGGAGAGCGGAAUUCCACGUGUAGCGGUGAAAUGCGUAGAGAUGUGGAGGAACACCAGUGGCGAAGGCGGCUCUCUGGUCUGUAACUGACGCUGAGGCGCGAAAGCGUGGGGAGCGAACAGGAUUAGAUACCCUGGUAGUCCACGCCGUAAACGAUGAGUGCUAAGUGUUAGAGGGUUUCCGCCCUUUAGUGCUGCAGCAAACGCAUUAAGCACUCCGCCUGGGGAGUACGGUCGCAAGACUGAAACUCAAAGGAAUUGACGGGGGCCCGCACAAGCGGUGGAGCAUGUGGUUUAAUUCGAAGCAACGCGAAGAACCUUACCAGGUCUUGACAUCCCGUGACAACUCUAGAGAUAGAGCGUUCCCCUUCGGGGGACACGGUGACAGGUGGUGCAUGGUUGUCGUCAGCUCGUGUCGUGAGAUGUUGGGUUAAGUCCCGCAACGAGCGCAACCCUUGAUCUUAGUUGCCAGCAUUCAGUUGGGCACUCUAAGGUGACUGCCGGUGACAAACCGGAGGAAGGUGGGGAUGA